rnacentral:rRNA from 1 species
AUGAUGCUUGUGAUGACCUUGAUAUUGGCAAUUUUGUGUCUUACAAGGCUUUGUCACCUUCAUAAGGCGUUUGUUGCCUCUCUGCAAACUGUGUCUAUCCCUAAGGAUUGGAAGGCUGCAAAGCAAGAUCCGAAGUGGCGUGAAUCGAUGAUAGAGGAGUUAGAAGCAUUGAAAAAAAACAAGACAUGGGUGCUAACCACAUUGCCGGCAGGAAAGAAAGCAGUGAGUUGCAAGUGGAUUUUUACUGUGAAGCAGAAUCCUGAGGGCAAGGUGGAACGGUAUAAGGCUAGAUUGGUCGCCAGAGGAUAUAGUCAAACUUAUGGAAUUGACUAUGAUGAGACAUUUGCUCCGGUUGCAAAGAUGAACACAGUACGGGUAUUGGUCUCGUGUGCUGCAAACUUUGGGUGGAAAUUGCACCAGUUAGAUGUCAAGAAUGCCUUCUUACAUGGUGACUUGAAAGAAGAGGUAUACAUGGAGAUACCGCCUGGUUUUGGCACAGAACAGACUACAGGGAAGGUAUGCAGGCUGAAGAAAUCCUUGUAUGGUCUGAAGCAAUCGCCGAGGGCAUGGUUUGAUAGGUUUAGACGAGCUGUUUGGAAUAUGGGGUAUGGCCAAUGUAAUGGUGAUCACACGGUGUUUUAUAGACACAUUGAUAAGAAGAUCACCAUUGUUGCAGUGUAUGUUGAUGAUAUCAUCAUCACCGGAGAUGAGGAGGAGGAAAUAAAGAGAGUGAAGGGGUGUCUGAGCAAGGAGUUUGAGGUAAAAGACUUGGGAAAUCUCAAGUACUUCCUUGGCAUAGAAGUGGCUCGGACAGAGAAGGGAAUAUCUUUGUGCCAACGAAAAUACACCUUGGAUCUUUUGAGUGACAUGGGCAUGAUGGGAUGUCGUGCAGCCCCUACUCCGAUUGAACAAAAUCAUCAAAUAACAGCACAAUCAGGUGAGCUAGUGAAUAAGGAAGAUUAUCAGAAGCUGGUUGGAAGGUUAUUGUACUUGUGUCAUACCAGGCCUGACAUUACGUAUGCCGUGGGGGUGGUGAGCAGAUACAUGCAUGAACCAAGGAGUGGGCAUCUUAAUAUUGUUCACAGAAUCCUGAGAUACUUGAAGGGGACUCCGGGUAAAGGGUUGUGGUCUGCGAAGAGUGGACAUCUUGAGGUGGAUGGCUAUAGUGACUCUGAUUGGGCUAGCUGUCAAGAUGAUAGACGAUCAACUUCAGGCUACUGUGUGUUUGUGGGAGGAAAUUUGGUGUCAUGGAGAAGCAAGAAACAGACUGUUGUGUCUAGAUCAACAGCAGAAGCUGAAUAUAGAGCAUUAUCUCAAGGGUUGUGUGAUAUGCUCUGGGUGAAGCACCUACUAUGCGAGUUGAAACUUUUGAGGAAGGGACCCUUAAGAGUGUGGUGUGACAAUCAGUCAGCUAUAGCCAUUGCUAAUAACCCAGUUCAACAUGAUAGGACGAAGCAUGUGGAAAUUGAUCGCUUCUUCAUUAAAGAGAAACUAGAUGCUGGGAUCAUCAGCCUUACUCAUGUCAGCUCUAGGCAGCAGUUUGCAGAUUGCUUGACAAAGGGACUGGGAACAAAGGACUGUAACUUGGCGUGUGACAAGAUGGGGAUGAUAGAUAUCUACCACCCAUUUUGA